rnacentral:lncRNA from 1 species
CUAAGUAACUAAACUCUUAAUAAUACCCAAUCUUAGUUACUUAGGAAAAUGUAAAUAAGGUGCUAAUCCAUGAAAUUACACUUUGCACUUUGUUUAAGUUGGUUAGUGGAGCGUGUGUGGUUAACCAGCACACUAACUCGUAUUUAACAAGGUAGGUAAAGGGUAACUUAAUGUUUAUCAUAGUAUCGACGGAGCGUGUGUGGUUAACCGGCACAUCGAUUGAGGGGUAAACACUUAAGGGUACCAAGUAAUUUGCAUGGUUACUUCACACCUUGUUUUGUGAUCCUCGGCAUCCCAGUCACAAAACCUGAAGGGCACACUCGAGAUUGAAACAUGCCNCAGAGUGUCGGCGCGAGAAAGAAGGGAACUGAGCAAUGGAACUCGGAGCCCUUGAAAUCUAUUUAUAGGGGCAUUUUUGAGGUGUGCCACGUCAUGGAAAGGGAUGGCCACGUCGUGGGGAGUCAAACUUAUCCUCUUCCAUUGAUUGGGCGCCCUCAGUCACUUGUCGGGUCGCGGCAAGUUUGUGCCACGUCGUGGCAAGCCUGACAGCCUCAGAUUUCGGGCCUCGAACUUGUAAAACCCAUAACUUUCGCGUACAAGCUUCGUUUUCGACGUUCUUUAUAUGCACGCGUAGCUGAAAAUAUGCUAUACAACUCUCAUUUAGACUUCAUUGGCUAAUUUUGACUUUACUUUUAAUUAUUUAUUUUUAACGGGCUGGGACACGAAAAUUCCGUUAAAAUUCCAUAACUUCUUCAUCCGAUGUCUGUUGUCGUCAGACUUUUCUCCGUUGCGCUAAUAUUUUUGAGACCUUCGAUUCUCAUUUUGGUUGUUUCGGUCAAAAUUCUCUCGAGCUCUAUUUCGAGUUUUUAGCUGUCUACUGCUAUAUCCGGAUCUUGGAAUAAUCAUAACUUCCUCAUACAAAGUCAGAUUUGGACGUUCUUUUUAUGUACGCUCACGGUUUAAUGUUAUCUACAACUUUCAUUUAGAUAAUUAAGGCUAAAAAGUAUUGUAUUGAAACUUCGCGUUUUUCGUUUAAUCGGUGUUACCGGUUUUGCCCAGAAUCUUCGGUUGGUCAUAACUUCCUCGUUAUAACUCGGAUUUUAGGGUUCUUUAUAUGUACGAAAACCUUGAUACGAUUCCUACUACUUUAUUUAACCCAAAUAAGAUUUUAGGAAAGUUAUAUUUUGACCUAAAUUUGACUGGUUUUACAUUACAUUGUCUCUAAAUAUCGGGUUGUCACACAAAUACUUUCAUAUACAAAAAACAGAAUUUCACUAACGAACAUACAAUUGGUCUUAGGGUUUAAGACUACUUUUCAUUACUAAAGAAAAUAUUGGAUUUUCUUGGAAACUUACAAACAUUUUUCACGGGUACAUCAACAGGUUUUCGUCAUAAAAACAUGCCUAUGAACUCACCAACUUUAUGCUGAUACUCUUUUCAAAACCACUUGUAUACUCAGGAGAUCAGUAGACAGGUACUUCCGCAGGCUAUUGAGAAGACAUAGCGUAUAGAGUCACGUCUUUUGUUAUACUUUUGAUGUAUACAAUUAUAUAUCAAAUUGAUGUAAAUACUAUAUAUAUUCAAUUUAAUGGCUGUGUUUACUUUGAUUACUAUGAUGCAAUUAUUGUGAUACUGCACAUAACCUCCUCCACCCCCGAACGUUUCCGUCGUUUCGGUUUGGGGGUGUGAUAGAUUGGUAUCAGAGCUAUUGUUUAUAAUGAACUAAGUAUACCGAACCUUACAUGGUAUACAACUAUAAACACUAAAGGGGCCGAAAUGCUCUGAAACUAAAAGUAUACUUUUAAAAUUUAAGUAUUUUACAAAAGAGAAAUUAAAUUGCUUCCUACUUUUUGUGCCUACAAAGGUUCCUACCCAAUAAAAUUAUGACAAGUGGUAUCUUUCCAUAUUUUUUUUUAACUAACCCAUUAAGGCUAUAUUAGGAAUAGGGAAAGGAUCAAAUGAGAACACCUAAAAGGUUGAGAACGCGAGAACAUGUAUAUUUAUUUGUGAUUUCAUUUAUUCAUUUGUGGAGAAAUGAUAAAGUUUUACGCACAAUCAACAUGAAUAUGAUUUUUCUCUUCAAUUGAAAUUAAAGACGUAAAAGUUUAUCAUUUCUCCACAAAUGAAUACAUGGAAUCACAAAUAAAUAUACUUUGCUCUCUCAUUCUCAACCUUUUUGGUUUUCUCAUUUGAUCCUACUCCAUUAGCAAUAUAUCAAAUAAAAUUAAAUUGAAUGAUGAUUUGUCAUAAUUUUAGUGGGUAGGAAUAAUUGUAGGAAUAAAAGGUAGGAGGUAAUUUAAUUUCUCUUUACAAAAAGUAUGCAAGUAUACAUACAUACUAGAAGUUGUAUCAUAAUAAGAACUACAUAAAUGUAUUUAGGACGAGUCGGGUACUACGGUUAAACCUGAAUAGUUAUGUAAUCAUAUGUGGGGCUAAUAUAACUUGAUCAACUAUAUUUGUCCGAGAUAUGACCAACAUAUGUUUGGGAGUGACUAUGGUGUUGCGACAAGUCUAAAACUCACCAAAUCCGAUACUAAUGAAGCACAUAGUUAAAAUACUAUAGGAGUAUUUUAUAAUUCUAUAACACCACACAAAAUUGUUACAAGUAGUACUAAUCCCCACAAAUGAAAGACCUGCAAUUCCUUGUUUAUGUCAGUAAACUAUUAUUUUAGAUCUCUUUUAACGCUUAGGAUCAAUAUAUUAUGCAUUUAGAAUUUAGAUAUAUCUUGUUCGAAAGUAUCCGAUUCAUGAUCAAUAUAGAAGGCUUAUUGUAAUUUUCCCCUUGUAUCUUUUAGAGAAAGAUGCCUCCCAAGAAGAGACCCAACAGAGAGAAGAACAACCCUCUGACAUAUCCGCCACCACCACUUCCUCAGUUCGUUCCUGUUAUGUUCCAAGCAGCAGUUACAACCGAUAUGGCUGCCGCAAUGUCACAGAUCAAUUCUGGCGGCACUAGCGGAUCGGGAAGUGGUACCCAUCCCCUUAAUCUUGAUGGUGGCCAGGGACACCCAAAGUAGUGCUCCUACAAAGACUUUAUAAACGCGAAACCCAAAUCCUUUAAUGACAAUAGAGGUGUCAUUGCCCUAACUCGUUGGUUCGAGAAGAUCGAAUCAAUUUUUGAGAUCUGUGCAUGCCCCGAGGCAAGCAGGGUGAUGUUUGCUGUCUGCACCUUCACCGAUAGAGCACUAACUUGGUGGAAUAGCCGAGUCAAAUCCCUAACUCUGCCGGUAGCCAAUGCAAUGGGUUGGGAGAAUGUGAAAGAACUAAUGCUUGCAGAGUAUUGCCCAAGGGGUGAGAUGAUAAAAGCUGGAGCACGAGCUCUGGAACCUGAAGAUGAAUGGUUCCGACAUUGUUACGUACACUGCUAGGUUCAACGACCUAGGUCUUCUGUGUCCCGAGAUGGUCACCUUGAAAAUCAAGAAAAUUGAGAGGUACAUAUGGGGAUUGACACCCCAACUCAAUGGAACGUCUUGGGUGCUAAAUGUCUCACAUUUGACAGUGCCAAGUGUCUGGCGCAAACUUUGAUAGAUCACGGGGAUGAUCAUGAACCCAUUGCAGCCGUUCCCAAACCACCAAAGGAGAGUGGUGGAAAGAGAAAGUUAUGGAACAAGCGCAAGGGCAAGUCUUCGUAGGAGCCCUCCAAGAAACAACAAAUAGUGACAGUUCAUAUUGCUACCACUCCUGCUGUUGUUACUGCAACUCAAGCACCUGCCAGUAGAUAUGCUGGAACCCUUCCAAGGUGCGAUAAGUGUAACUUUCAUCAUCACAGACCCUGUCAUGACAUGCAAUGCAACAACCGUGGAAAAAAGGGACACACAACAUGUUUAUGCAAAACACAAGUCCAACCAACCAAUCAGGCUCCUAGCUGGAGUUGGUCAAGCCUGCUAUGGCUGUGGUGAAACCGGGCAUUAGAAGAGGAAUUGCCCAAAAGCGAAAACUACAGGCAAUACAAGGAAGGUUCUAGCUAUGGGUCAGGAGGAGGCAGUUGUUGAUCCCAUCGUAGUUACAGGUAUGUUCCUCCUCGACAACUCCUAUGCAUGCAUUCUUUUCGAUAGUGGUGUGGCGAGGAGUUUUGUUAGUCAUGCAUUUAAACAUCUACUGAAGCAUAAAUCCCAACCUUUAUCCGGAACAUUCACUAUCAAGAUGGCUAACGGAAAGAAAGAGAGUACUAACGACGUAUUUAUAGGCUGUACCCUUACCCUAAACGACAAUUCUUUUCCAAUCGACCUCAUGCCAGUCUCCAUAAAAAGCUUUGAUGUCAUCAUUGGCAUGGAUUGGUUGAGCCCCAAUCGUGCUGAUACCCUUUGUUAUGAACAAGCCAUUCACCUCAAUCUGCCAUCCGGCGAAGCCCUCAUUAUCUAUGGUGAUAAACUCAGCUCAAGCCUUCGUAUCAUUUCAUGCAUCAAAGCCCAAAAUUAUCUGCGAAAGGAGUGUCAUGCAUUCCUAGCCCAUGUCGUUAACAAAAAACAGGAAGUUAAAGUCCUCGAGAGCAUCCCCGAAGUCUACAAAUUUCCUAAUGUUUUCCCCAAAGAUCUUCCCAGAAUUCCUCCCGAGCGCCAAGUCGAGUUCCGAAUCGACUUAACCCCCAAAGCUACCCCCGUAGCCAAAUCCCCUUGUCGUCUAGCGCCGACAGAAAUGCAAGAGUUAUCCAGCCAGCUCAAUGAACUACUCAACAAGGGAUUCAUCAGACCAAGUUCCUCACAAUGGGGAGCCCCAGUCUUAUUUGUGAAAAAGAAGGAUGGGUCCUUUCGGAUGUACAUAGAUUAUCGCAAACUGAACAAGCUUACCAUCAAAAACCGUUACCCCAACCCAGAAUCGACGACCUCUUCGAUCAACUCCAAGGAGCCAACUACUUCUCAAAGAUAGACCUGAGAUCAGGGUACCAUUAGUUACGAGUCCAUGAAGGUGAUGUUCCUAAGACAACAUUUCAGACUCGAUAUGGUCACUACGAGUAUAUAGUAAUGCCCUUUUGUCUAACCAAUGCACCUGCGGUAUUCAUGGAUCUGAUGAAUCGGGUGUGUCGCCUAUUCCUAGACAAGUUCAUGAUAGUAUUCAUACAUGAUAUACUUGUCUAUUAUCGGAGUGAGGAAGAUCAUACACAACAUCUAAGGCAAGUGAUGGGAACUCUAAGUGCGGAGACAUUAUAUGCAAAAUUCUAAAAGUGCGAAUUAUGGACAAGAAAAGUAACUUUCCUUAGUCACGUGGUUAGCGAAGAAGGCAUACACGUGGACCCUUCCAAAAGUAAAGCGAUCGAGAAUUGGUCAGCACCAAAGACACCCACAUAAAUCCGUCAAUUCUUGGGUCUUGCUGUCUACUAUCGCAGGUUUAUCCAGAAUUUCUCUUGGAUUGCUAAGCCUCUUACCGCCCUGACUCAGAAAGGUGUAACCUUUAGCUGGGAAGAAAAUCAAGACACUGCAUUCCAAACAUUGAAGCAGGCCCUAUGCAGCGCACCUAUCUUGUCUCUUCCAGAAGGGAUAGAGGACUUUGUGCUCUAUUGCGAUGCAUCCAAUCAGGGGCUAGGCUGUGUGCUCAUGCAGUGAGGAAAAGUCAUUGCAUAUGCCUCGAGACAACUGAAAGCACACGAAUUCAAUUAUACAACUCACGAUCUGGAGUUGGGAGCAAUGGUCUUCACAUUAAAGAUUUGGAGACAUUAUCUCUACGAAACCAAGUGCACCAUAUUCACCGACUAUAAAAGCCUUCAAAACAUUUUUGACAAGAAGGAGCUGAACAUGAGACAACGACAAUGGGUAGAGCUACUUAACGAUUAUGAGUGCGAAAUACGCUAUCGUCUCGGCAAGGCCAAUAUGGUAGCAGAUGUCCUCAGCUGGAAGGAGUACUCAAGUCGCAGAGUGACGGCACUCACAAUGACUAUCCAUUCCCAUGUGUCCGCACAAAUCAGAGAGGCUCAGCUGGAAGCCUUGAAACCAGAGAACAUGAUGGAUGAAGCCUUCAGGGGAAUGGAAAAGAACUUAGAAUCAAGGGAGACGGAGUUUAUUAUUUCAUGAACUGGAUUUGGACCCCAAAAUACGGUGGUUACAGGGAGGUUUUCAUGAACGAAGCUCAUCGGACUAGAUACUCUGUUUACCCAGGUUCGGAUAAGAUGUAUCUGGAUCUCAAAAAGCUCUAUUGGUGGCCAAACAUGAAAGUAGAAAUUGCUACCUUCGUGGGCAAGUGCGUGAAUUGCGCUAAGGUGAAUGUGGAAUAUCAAAAGCCCUCAGGUCUACUUCAACAGCCAGAAAUACCUGAGUGGAAGUGGGAACGAAUUACUAUGGACUUCAUUACCAAAUUGCCUAAGACCCCGAGUGGCCAUGACACUAUCUGGGUAAUCGUCGACAGAUUGACUAAGUCUGCCAAGUUCCUGCCAAUCUAAGAAACAUAGAAGAUGGAGAGACUGACCCGAAUCUACAUCUAGAGAUAGUUCGACUGCAUGGUGUGCCUGUGUCUAUUAUCUCUGAUCGAAAUAGCAGAUUCACCUAGAGAUUUUGGCAGUCAUUGUAGAAGGCUCUUGGAACUAAGCUCUAUAUUAGCACAACUUACCAUCCACAUACCAACGGGCAUAGUGAGAGAACCAUUCAAACCCUAGAAGACAUGUUGAGAGCAUACGUUAUCGACUUUGGUAAGUCGUGGGAUACCCAUUUGCCAUUGGUCGAGUUCUCUUACAACAACAACUAUCACACUAGCAUCAAAGCUACUCCUUUCGAAGCCCUGAUAGCUCUCUCACUGGCCCAUAAAUCAUCAGAGAAACCACAGAAAAGAUCAUACAAAUCCGAGAACGACUAAAGGCUUCAAGAGAUAGACAAAAGAGCUAUGCUGAUAAAAGAUGAAAACCUUUGGAGUUCCAGGUUGGUGACCGCGUUCUGUUAACAGUCUCACCUUAGAAAAGCAUGAUACGUUUCGGAAAGCGUGGAAAACUAAAUCCGAGAUACAUUGGGCCAUUCGAGAUGCUCGCCAGGAUCGGUCCCGUAGCUUACAAACUCCGUUUACCCUAAGAGCUUAGCAACGUACAUCCCGUCUUCCACGUGUCGAACCUCAAAAAGUGUCUAUCCGAUGAGACUCUUGUAAUUCCACUCAAUGAAAUCAAGGUCAAUGAGAGUCUUAACUUCGUGGAAGAGCCAGUUGAAAUCAUGGAUAGGGAAGUCAAACGAACGAAACAAAGUUGCAACCCGAUAGUGAAGGUUCGCUAGAAUGCCAAGCGGGGACCUGAAUUCACUUGGGAGCACGAAGAUCAGAUGCGACAGAAGUAUCCGCAUCUCUUUCCCUAGUCCAUAAUUGUAUUCGUUUUAGAAUUUCGGGAUGAAAUUCCUUCUAUCGGGGGGAUGAUGUAACAACUCGAACCUUUUUCAGUCAACGAAAGUUAAAUAUCGUUAAAUAAAAUUUCAAAUUUUAUUUAUUUUAUUUUGUCAAUUUUGUCAAGCUUGUAAGGGUUGAAAACAACUUAGAUCAUAUAAAUUAAAUUUAUAUAAGUGCCGGGACUAAAAUCGUGCGAAACAAUUAAGUUUUUCUUCGAAAAUCAGCCAAGUCUCAUUCAUCCCGGUGUUUACGGCCACAAACUUGUUUAUGGUCAUAAACCGUUCACGGCCUGGGGACCCCACCUCCGACCAUGAACCUAGUCUCUCUCUCUCUCUCUCUCUAUAUAUAUAUAUAUAUAUAUAUGUAUGUAUGUAUCCUCAUUUCUUCGAUGCUGGUCGAAAACGCUACUUUCUCUCUCUAAAUCCACCAACCGAAAACAUAAGAUUUCACUCAUCUAACCUCCGAAAAAUCUUCCAAUCCACAUUGGAAAUUGUUUUGGAGCAUCAAACAUUCACCAUUUCACCAAAUCAAGCAUUCUUCAUUUUUGGGUUCACGGCCGUAAAACCUUCAAAACUUCAUAUUUUCACCAAGAGUACCAAGAACAGACCAUAAAUCAUUCAAAGAACGUAAACCCUUCAAGGACAGAAAACCGUUUACGGCCAAGAACAGUCCACAGCCGAAAACCUUUCACAGUCGCAAGCUACCCUAAAUCGUGAAUCUUGGUUGCAAACCACUUUUCCACUUCGAUCGAGUCUCGGUAACAUUCCUCAACAUAAAUCAAUUGUUUUUCUUACACUUUAACUAAUGUGUUCGCUAAUUUAAAUACAUAUAUGUGUUUAAUUAUUAUUAGGAUUCCGUUAGCUUCACGUAAAACAACUCGAGGGUACUCAUUUCUAGUCUCGUUGUCCGGCACAUACACUCGACCAACUGUGAGUUAAUACCCCUAUAUUUUUACUACUUUUAAUGUUUUCAGGGGGAGAAUACAAGUAAAAUAUUAGAAUUUUGUGCUUUUUUACAAAAUGAUUUCAAACGAAUUUAAAAACCUUUGCAAUUGAUACAACCGAGAAAACACUACAUUUUAUAAAAAUAUUUAGAUAUUCUAAUCCCUUAUGUAACAUGCUGAGCUUGAGGUAAAUUUUCAAUAUACAAUGAUAAUUGCAAAGAUUUUAGUACCAUUCAUGUUAUACAUUCCAAACUUUUUUGUCAUACUUCGGAAGCAUCAUCGAAGUUUUAACAAAAUUCAAGGCAUACGAGUAAGUAUACAUACAAAAACUAUAAUAGGUAUAGUUUGUGGUUCAAUACACCGUUUCAUGAAUUCAAGAACCGUACAUCAUAACAAACAUAUAAACUAUGGUAGAACUACUUUAUGGUAUACAAUGCUAUUAUUCGAAUACAAGAGUACUUUACUAAAUAAUUAUUUAAGUAUAAUUAUUUUUACUCUACUAGACAUACGUAUAGAUUCAAGUCCAAGAGAGCAAUAAAUUACACGUAAACUAGUUAAUACUGGGAUUGUGAGACAUUACUUCAAUUGUACCCUUCGGGAUGUGGGCUAAAUCCUAUCAUAGUAUAACCGAAGUCUCUUAGAGGGAGAACAUGAGAUUUGUGAAUAGAUCUUUUCGGGAUUGACUAUCCCACACCUAAACUGCUAGCUACAGUUAGGCAGGCAUGCCUGGGGUGACAAAUGUCAUAAUGUACGACGCCUGAAGAACGUCUUAGAGGUCACUAAGUCAUGUCAAGUAUGGUUAUACGAAAUCACAAUAGUAUAAACUAACCUUUUUGUUUACGGGAUUUCAUUCUUCAAUAGUUUUAUUUUAAGUAAUAAAAAUACUAUACAUACUGGUGUUAGCCAGGGUUUUCAUACAUUUCGUUUCUUACAUUACUGGUGAUAAACAGGGAUUUCAUACAAAUACUUUCGUAUACAAAAAACAGAAUUCACUAACGAACAUAAAAUUUGUCUUAUGGUUUAAGACUACUUUUCAUUACUAAAGAAAAUAUUAGAUUUUCUUGGAGACAUACAAACAUUUUUCACAGGUACAUCAACAGGUUUUCAUCACAAAAACAUGCUUAUGAACUCACCAGCUUUAUGAUGAUACUAUUUUCAAAACCACUUGUAUUCUCAGGAGAUCAAUAGACAGGUACUUCCGCAGGCUUUUGAGAAGACGGAGCGUGUAGAGUCACGUCUUUUGUUAUACUUUUGAUGUAUACAAUUAUGUAUCAAACUGAUGUAAAUACUAUACACACACACACACACAUAUAUAUAUAUAUAUAUAAUGUAAUGUUUGUGUUUACUUUGAUUACUACGAUGAAAUUGUUGUGAUACUGCACAUAACGUCCUCCAUCCCCGAACAUUUCCGCUGUUUCGGUUUGGGGGUGUGACUUUCUCUCUGUAGAAAACCCAUUCAAAAUCACUUUCUCUCUCUAGACGUUUUUCAAGUUUUUAUGAUCAUGGUGUAUUUGGCUUAUGAUUCUUGGGUUGUGGUCGUUGAAGAUGUCAAAUACAAAGUCAAUAAAAAUCAAUUUUGUGGGUUAUUGUUGUAAGGAGGAUUGAUUACAUGGGAUACUAUGGUUUAUUAUGGAGGCUUGAAAGAUGAUCAUGGAAGAUUUAAAUUUGAACCUCUUUUAAAGUUUUUUAUGUUUAAUCGAACUUGUUAUGUCAAUAUCCACAUGUAGUGAAAAUAAAAAGGAAGGAGAAGAAAGAGAUUUGUUUAAUAAGAAAUACAUUUCACUUAUUGAAUACCUAAAUGAUCUUCGUGCUCUUAAGUAUGUUAAAUUUCAAGACUAUGGAGUUCAAUGUAAUGUUCUUGAUGUUCUUGAAGUUUAGGAGAAGAAGAUUCAAGUUUAUUCUCAUGAAGAUGAAAGAGUUUUUGGCUUGAUUGGAGUUCAAACCGAUGAUACUUUUUGUUCUUGCGAUUUGUUUGAAAGAAUGAUUUCUUAUUGAAAGCGGGUAUUCCAAGAAAUUCACAAGUAUCUAAUUCCAAAAGAUUUGAUUCAAAAUCGCAAAGUUGAAGUUGUGGAAAGUGGUUUGUUCAUGAAAUCAAAUCUUCAAGAUGCAAAAAGAUGAGAAAGAAAAAGAAUAAGAAGAUUAAACGCAAAAACAAGCGGGUUUACUCACAAAAAUCAUCAAGUGUUGUUGUGAAGCGAAUUUGGGCUCCAAAGCAACAAUUUCCAAAGGUUGCAUUGAAUUUAAAGUCAAAACCCAAAAGUGUUUGUGAUUCUUAUGAAAAUGUUCUUGGAUCGUUGAAGAACAUGAAGAACGUGUUGUACAACACGCAUCGUGGGUGGUAUGAUGUUCAAAUUGCAGAUUUUCUCGUUCCAUCAAAAGAAAAAGAUCUUCUAAAUUUGAUUCGUUCAUUGAAAAUGGAACACGAUUCGUGAAAAAGGUAUCUUAAAUUCUCAAAUGGAUUCUAAUCAAGAAAACGUUUCUGGAAAACUAAGAAUUCUAAUCAAAACUCUGUUAAUUCAGAAAGAUCUUCAACUCAAAAUACGAAUUCUUCUCCGAUUCUGAAAGAAAAAUCAAAAUCAUUUGCUAAGCCACAAUUUUCAACUCCUCAGGUUUCAAAAUUAAAGAGUUCUUCAAAACCAACAUUUUCAAAAACAUCAUAUUCGAAAUCUUUUGAAAAGCCAAAGUCAAAUUGUCCUCCAAAAACAUCCGUUUCAAAACCUAUCAACACAUCAAAAGAUGUGAAAGGCAAAAGUAAAGUUGGUUCGGAACCAGAGAUUUCUCUCGUGGAAUACGAAGAAAAUUUGAAAAGGGAAGAAAGGCUUUUGCAAAAAGGAUGGACAACAAACACAAAAAUUUUAUUCAACGAAAAACUAUUCUUGUUGAAAUUAAUCUGUAUGAUGAUCAGAUGGAAGUUUUCAAAAUCAUAAAAGGGAAAAAUAGUGUUUUAACAAAAAGAUCGUUUUAGGUUGACAAGAAUAAGAUUAUUCUUGUUCUUAAGAAGUCCUCACAGGGACCCAAGAAGGUUUGGGUUUCUAAAUGUCUCUGUAGUUUGUAGGUAAUGCAUGAUGAACAGUACGACUCUGAAUGGUAUAUAGACAGUGGUUGUUCGUGUCACAUGACUGGAAAGAGAGAAGAACUGAGAGAAUUUCGAUCGUUAAAUGAUGGCGGUAGAAUUGUAUUUAGAAACAACGCCACAGGAGCAAUCAAAGGCUACAAAAUUAUUACAAAUGGUGGAUUCUCCAUUUGGAAGGUAGCUUGUGUGGAAGGCCUACAACAUAAUCUAAUAAGUGUUUUGCAAUUGGUCGUAGGUACUAGGCUAAAGGUGUCAUUCAAUGAUAAGGGUUCAGAGAUCAUUGAGAAGAAAUCUAAAGUAGUGUUACUGUAACGCCCACGUUUCCAGGCUAGUCAUUAUCCUUGAUGUAAUAGUCUAGGUUAACCCAUGUAACUCUUUUAAAGUAUUAAUGAUGAAAUAUUUGAGUAUUAUGUGAAUUAUGUGAAUCAUGUGUUUAUUUUCUUAAUUAUUAUAAUUUAAUGAAUUAAGAAUAAAAUAAGCGUCAAAAUUAAAGUAUGAAAUAAACUCAAUAUCUUUGCAUAAAGUUGUAGUGUCCGAAACGAGGUUUCCGAAUAUAUAUAGAACGCCCAAAUCUGACUUCGUAUGAGGAAGUUAUGAUUUUCUAAAGUUUCGACUAGGCAGUAUGCAGCCCAAAUCCUCGAUUUGAGAUCCAACAGUUUAUAGCCGAAACAAUCUAAACGGGAAUCGAAGAUCUCGUUGUUAGUAGCGAAACGAUGAAAAGUUAGGCGAGAACGGACGUCGGACGAAGAAGUUAUGAAUUUAUAACGAAGUUUUCCUGUACGGGCCUACUAAAAUUAAAUAAUAAAAAAAUAAAGUCAAAAUUAGCCGACGGAGUCUAAACGAUAGUUGUAGAGCGUAGCCUCACCAACGCGUGGAUAUAAAGAAUGUUGAAAACGGAGCUCGUAUGCGAAAGUUACGCAAUUUAGAAGUUUGACGAGUCAAAUUACGCCGAGCGUAAUUUGAGUACGCCCAGCGUACUCAGGAGGAUGCAAGUUGCCUGACCAAUACUCGAGUGCCACCAAUUGACGCAUGCAGUGACGUAAAGUACGCCUAGCGUAACCAAGUUACGCCCAGGUACUGAGUACGCCCAGCGUAAAUUGAAAUUACGCCCAGCGUAAUCCCAGACCCACCAGCUUAUAAAUAGAAACCGAGAUCAGCCAUUUUCUCGUGUUCAAACUCUUUCUUCUCUCUAGUUUUUGCCUCGAUUUGUGUGCCAAUCAUAUCCCGAAGCAAGAUCCGAAGUCCCGAGGAUCCCGAAGAGCGUUAUUCCAGAGCCGAAGCCCUGCCCGCGAGGAGCCCGGUUUUUGUGAAAAUCUUCCAGAUCUACGGAGAAACACUACUUUUGCAAGCCGUAGUGCUGUCCGAUCAUCUUUUGAUCAGGUGAGUGUGUAGUUACUUUCUUCCAACACGUUAUCAUGAAGUAUUUUAUAUAAAACAUGUGAUAUGUGUACAUAUUUUGUUGUUAUACGUGUGAGUGUAUAUUCACUUUCUUCUAUCUCAUAGAUCUGAUUUAUUCUCUAUGAAAUACGUGUUAUGUGUGUGUGCCUCAUCUGUUAUGUGGAAUAUGUAUUGAUUAAAGCAUGCUAUACAGGUUUUUAAACUAUGUAUAAAAAUGUAUAUUUUUAUCUACUAAUAUGUUGGGUAGAACAUGGGUAGAUAGUUGGUGUGUAAUAAACAGAUGAGAGGCCUCGUUGUUGUUUUGAUUCAGUCAUCUAGCGGAGUUUAGAUGACGACCACAGACUUUUCUAGACAGUCUUGUGGAACACUAGCAGGCUCGCCACCUGUAGGUGUUAAUGAACUUGGGUGUUCAUUCGCUGUACUCCAUCCCCCCCAUGGUUGCCUUAUUUGACAUAUAUUGCCGGGAAACCCAUGAAAGCAUGUGUUGUCGCCCCGAUGAAAUAUUCUUAGACUAGGUCCCUUGUGUUAGUUAUUUUAGGGACAUAAAGUGAGAAUAACGAGAAUGGGUAAUUGGGUUAUUGUUGGUUGAUGAAAAUUAAUUUAAUUAUUUAUUGUGGGUUGAAAACCCUAUAUUCUCACCAGGCUCGCAAGCCUGACCCACUCAGUUUCUUUGUAUUACAGGAAGUGGCGCGAGAGCAUAAGAUGGAUAAUCAUCAAGUUGUUUUGUUUGCAAGUCUGUAUAUGUAUAUAUUUGUUGAAUGACUUGUAAUGUUAUCUUUUAUGCUUUAUGGUAUGUAUCGGAACAUGACAUCCCAGGUUUUUGAUUAUGGAAUGAAUUAUAUUUCUUCAUGAAAUGUUUUGAUAAAAAUCUAUUUUAUCAUGUUUUGUUUUUGGGAUCAAAUUCCGCAUCUCUUUUAAAAUCAAAAGGAUUUACUCUGAAAAUUUUUAAAAAGCAUAAAUGAAACCGGUCUUUUCUGGUCGAGAUUUUGGGGAUGUUACAGUUACUAAAGUCCAAAAGAAAGGGAUAAACGUAUCCUUUGAACUUAAAACCAAUCAAAGGGAAGCCUUCCAUUUGCCUUCUUACGUACUCAUCUUUGGAUGAUAGUUGGCUAUGGCACAGAAGGCUCUCCCAUAUGAAUUUCAAGGAUAUAAACAAGCUUGUACUUAGCAAUCUUGUACGUGGUUAACUUAUUCUAAAGUUCGAGAAGGAACAUCUAUGCGCUGCAUGUGAUCUAGGAAAGAAAAGUAGAACGAGUCACUCGACCAUCAUCAAUAAACAAAUAAUCGAGCCAUUGGAACUAUUACACAUUGAUCUUUGUGGCCCAUCUGCCAUAGAAAGCAUUGGUGGUAAUAAGUAUAUUAUGGUUAUUGUUGAUGAUUUUUCAAGAUUUACAUGAGUUUUCUUUCUUAGACAGAAAUCAGAUGCCACUUCUAAGCUGAAGGAUUUCAUCAAGCAGAUUGAGCUUCAAUGUAAGGGGCGUGGGCCCAAUUUGGAAAAUUAGGUCAUAAUUGGGCCUUGGUUGAUUAACUGGCUUUUGGGCCUUUUAGAUUGUGAGUUUGGGCCUUAGUCUUGGACCAAGCUAAGUAAGGGGUAAAGUGGUCUUUUUACCCUAAGUAUCGAUUUAUGGUAAUGGAUUGGAACCCAAAUGUUAAUUGGGUGUUGUUUUGUUAUUGAUUAGAUCAGGUAUUCAUUGGACCAGCAGCCAAGAAUUUUCAGUGAGAUUCAGCAGUCGAGGUGAGUUUUCUCAUUGGGUUUAGCAAGUCUAAGGCACCAAUGUCGACCCUUAUUGUUUAUGUUAGGAUGCUAGGAUUUUGCGAGGAUCGAUGAUUGAAUCGUAUGCUAUUGUUUAUGAUCAUUAUAUGUGUUCGCAUGAUUAUGUGAUAUGUAUUGUAUGUGUAUAGUGGGAGGGGCCUGAUUUCAGGAAGGGCCUAAGAAUAAUGAAUUUGUAUACCGAGCGGGGAUCGAUGUCGGGCAUGUCCCGAUGAAGGGCGAGGCCCAAAUUAGGGUGGGGGCCGAGUAUGCGAUUUUUUAUGUAUGGUAUGGGGUAGUAAGGGGAACUCACUAAGCUUUGUGCUUACGGUUUUCAAUUUAUGUUUCAUGUACUUUUUGUUCCAAGAGGAAGAGCUCAGGUUGACUACAUCGCACACACCACAUGGAUUCCACUUUUGAGAUAUCACUUUGAUUGUUAUGAUGUUUGAUACACUUAUUUUCAUUUUGGUUGUAUGGAUAAUGUUUAUGGAAUACCAUUUUAUUUAAAUUAAAAAUGAAAUUUUGGAUCAUAUUUUGGGACAUUACAUCUUUGGGGCUAAGGAGCCCAUCACCAGCCGCCGCUGGAUCGCUGACAUGGAAAAUGCUCAACGUACAAGCUUUUUGCCUAAGGCAGAAAAGGUGGGAUUCACGUCCUUUAUGUUGAGGGACCAAGCGUGGGACUGGUAGGAGGAGGUUACUCGUGAGGUAGGGACGAUGGGUGUGACAAUGAUGACAUGGGAGGAUUUUGUGCGGAGGUUUAAUAGGGAGUUUGCACAGACCAUUAAGGUGUAGCAACUGGUGAGGGAGUUCCAGGACCUUCACCAGACUACGAAGACUGUGGUGGAGAUCACCACCAAGUUCAGAAAGAGGGCAUUGCUAGUUUCGCAAUACGUUGUAGAUGAGGAGAUGAUGAAGACGAGAUAUCAUGCUAUGUUGAGGGAUGAUAUCUAGUAGUUCGUGAACUUUUCAGGAUGCAAGACCCUAAAUGAUAUGAUUGAGAAGGCCUGUGAGUGGGAAAUCGAGUUGGUGCUCCAGACGAAGCGGAAUUCGGAAUAGGUGCAGAUAGCAAGGGGCUAGGCCAAGAAGUCCAAGACCUCCAAUACUUCUAGCAGAGGCCAGCAAAGUCGGCAUCGUUAUACCAAGUGCAGAAAGCCACAUAGUGGGGCCUAUCGGGUAGCAGGCUUGGUAUGCUAUAGUUGUGGUCAGUUAGGUCACAUGAGUAGGGAGUGCCUCGAGAACGACUUGAUUUGUUUCCACUACAACCAGACCAACCAUAAAAGGCCGGUUGUCCAAGGUUCUUUAGUAGAGCAGUGGUCGCGCCUGCGCCAGCCACCUUGAGGAUUACUGAUGGUUGCCAGGGCAAGGCAGAUGCCUCUAUGGUGAAGAACAUAGUGUUUCAGUUAACCACCAAUAAGGCCCGAGCAGCGUCGGAUGUCGUUACUUGUAUGCGGCUUAUUUAUAUCUCUCAUUGUUUUCUUAUUAUGCUUAUGUUUGUUAUGAUCAUGUAUAAGGAACUUUUUGGUCAAUGGGUUGUCCGCUCAUUUUUAUUUGAUUCAGGGUCUACCCGAUCCUUUAUAUCUCUUGUGCUCAGUAAGAAGUUUUAAGACACUUCAGGGACUUUGGAUUCCCCUCUGGAGGUAGAGAUUGCGGAUGAUCGUACUGUGAGCGAUGUAAGGGUAUUUCGAGGAUGUAUUCUGAACAUGUUUAGUGAGAGGUUUCCUAUCGAUUUGGUUUCGAUUCCCUUGAAGGGAUUGAAGGUGAUCAUCAGGAUAGACUAGUUAGGGCCCAAUAGGGCCGUGAAUGAUUGUGAGCAGCAGUUGGUGAGAGUUCGAACCCUAAGUGGGGAAGAACUAGUCAUUACUGGUGAGAGAGCUUCACAUGGGCCAACUAUCUAUUUGGCUGCAAGGUCUAGGAGGCUUUUUCGGUAGGGUUGUUUUAGGUUUUUGGCUUGUGUCUCGGAUUCGUGGGUUGGGACCACAUCGGAGUUGAGCAAGGUACCCAUUGUGUGGGAUUUUCCCGACGACUUUCCUGAGGAGUUGUCAAGAGCGCCAGUCGAGUGUUAGGUUGAGUUUCAGAUUGAUUUGAUACCUGGUUUGGCUUCAAUAGCUAAGACGCCAUAUCGCUUAGCACUACCUGAGAUGCACAAGUUGUCUACGCAGCUGCAAGAGAUUCCAGACAAGGAUUUUGUUUGUCUGAGCAGUUCCCUAUGGGGAGCACCGAUCCUGUUCGUGAAAAGGAAGGAUGGGUCACACCAAAUGUUCAUCGGUUAUCGCAAAUUGAACAAGCUAAUGGUGAAGAAGCGCUAUCCACUUCCAAGGAUUGAUGAUUUAUUUGAUCAGCUCCAGGGUGCAUCUUGGCUUUCCAAGAAUGAGGAUCAAGGAUGAGCAUGUACAGAAGACGACCUUUAGAACUCAUUAUGGUCAUUACGACUUCAUGGUGAUGCUUUUCAAGCUCACUUAUGCACCUGCAUUGUUCAUGGAUCUCAUGACCUGGGUUUGCUGGCCGAUGCUAGAUCGGUCUUUGAUUGUUUUCAUUGACGAUAUUUUGGUCUACUCUAAUACCAAGGAGCAUCAUGAACAACAUUUACGAGAGGUGUUGGAGACCUUGAGGAGGGAGAAGCUUUAUUACAAAUUCUCCAAAUGCAAGUUUUGGUUGCAUGAUGUGCAGUUUUUGGGCACAUCAUUAACCAGGGUGGAACCUGUUGGAUUAGGUGUCUAAGCCCAUAACUAUUUUGGUAUGUACUUGACCCGACUGUGAGCUUGGUCCUUUUGGGUUGCCUUCACCAUAGCAACUGAUAGGAUGAACUAAGAAGAAAAAGGUUUAAUUAUGAUUUAUUAAUAUAUUAUAUGAAUAAUAUAUUAAAAGAGAAAUCAUAUUGUUUAAUUAAUAUUAGUCAAGAAUUAAUAAGAGUUAAUUUUGUAGCUAAAAGAUAUUAAUUAAAUAAAGGGGGGGGGGUGAUAUUGCAAUUAUAUGAUAGUCGCAAUUGGGCUAUGGAUUGCUAAUAGAAAGGGGAUUGGACGAAAUCUAUGGGAAGCCCAUAUGGAUUUCGUCCAAGGGCUUUCUAGAGGGACUCCAUGGGCUGCUUAGGGCCUAAGCAGUUGGAUUAGGGUUUCCUGGUUGAAAACCCUAAUAGCCUAAGAAUAGAAGGAACCCUUGGCAAGCCAAAAACGUCCCUAACCUUCUAAGAGAAACCCUAGGAUGUUUUCGGUGCCUCCUUCCUCUCUCCUUGUUCAUCUUUUUGCAUAUGGUGUUUGUGACUCCAUUAGAGGUGCAACAUUUGAGGCACUAGGAUUUCAGAAGUCAAUUACAAUAAGGAUUCAGAUUGUUAUUGCAAGAUAACAAUCAAGGUAAGAUCUAAACUCUAUUCUUUUGUCAAUUUCGAUUAUUGUGUGCUAGAAUUAGGGUUUAUGAGCUUUGGAUGAUUAUUGCAUGUAUAUUAGACAAACUAGAUCCAAAGCUGUAGGGUUUGCAUGUACACCAUAGGAUUGAUGUAGUGGUCAAAACCCAUCAAUGGUAUCAGAGCCUAGGCUGUUUGUUUGAUGUAUUUGAUGCUUGUAUGAUCACUGUUGGCAUGAAAAUCGAAUUUUUUGUCCUCUACCUGACCGACUAGGCGAGUCAGCCUGACUCGGUGAGUCCAGUCCCUGACUCGGCGAGUUCAAGGGUCAGACAGAGGAAAUCUCGGGAUUUUUACUGUUUUGGCUGUGGGAUAAUUACCAUAAACGUUUUUUAUUGAUAAAAUCUAAUUUUUAUUGCUUUGGUAAGAUUAUCCUAACCCAAAUAGAAGGUAAUUGUCAUUUAAUAAAAUAUUUAUUGCUUUAUAUGAUAAACUUUAAUUAUUUGUAUUAUUUGAUGUGCAUUAUCUUGCCUUGAAAUAGAAUUAGGUCAAAUUUAGAUAAUCACUAAUUAUUUGAUUAAUUAAAAGUAUUUGUAAUUUGAUCUAUAUGGUUUUGAAAAGGUUUCAAGACUUGCCCUCAAGUUUUGGAAUUUAAAAUUUUGAUUAAAAUUUUAAUUUUGAAAUAUUAAAUUCUAAAACCCUAGUUUUUGAAAAGUUCAAAUUACACCCUUAUGGUUUUAUUUAAGUUAAUUAAAUUUAUAAUUAAAAGAGAGUUAUUAAAUCCAUAAUGAUAUGGUUUAUAUUUAAUUAAAUUAAAAGUAUAAUAUUAUAUAUGUAUGAGUAAAGAGUCAGCCUUACCAUUAGUAGGCCUCAUUCAUGAAGCUGGUCUCUAAGGAGUGUUCAAGGAAGUGGCUUUUAAAAUGACCGCCAUUGUGUAUCCACUCUUACCCACCACACUCUUGACUAGUGGAGGGUCGUUAGCCGAACGGGUAGGAUAGGACGCAACCCUCCAUUAUAAGUAUAAUGAAGUACGAAGUAACUAUACACUUUUAUAAAUUCCCAAAUCUUAGUUACUUUAGGAAAAAUGUGGAGUUGGUGCUAUUCCAUGAAAUUACAUUUUGUACCCUUGCUAAGACGUUAGAGGAGCGUGUGUUGUUAACCGACACACUAAUUGGGCUCUAAGCAAAGGUGGAAAAGGGUGACUCGAUGUUUAUCAUAGAUCGAUGGAGCGUGUGCGGUUAACCGACACGUCGAUUAGAUGACUAUAACAUUGGGGGCACAAUGUAUAUUUGCAUGGUUAUCUAUAACUUGUUUGUGAUCCUCGACAUCCCAGUCACAAACGAAGGGAACACUCAAGAUUUAAACAUGCCAUUGAAAAGUUCAAUGAAUCUCAAAGGAUCUAGGAGUUUCAAUUCAUUUAAAACUUAGAUUUCCUUUUCGUUUUUCAUGGUGGAAAUUGGUAAAUCGUCAUUUAGCUACCUUUAAAUGUUCUGCAAUUUGGAUUAAGGCAUCCCUCUUCCAUAUUGUAGAAUAUCGUGUUGGGUCCUAGCAUUGAUAUUCCAUUUGGGUGUUAUAUCAAGGAUUCCAAUCAACUAACUUGAAUUUUCUCCCGUUUUGUAGAUGUCAAAGUCUGACAACUAUGGUCUUCCUGAAUUCGUUGGAAAAAGUUUUCCACUUGAAGAUGAUGUUCCACGAUUAGAUCAUGUAAAUGAGAGUCAUGCUUCAAUACCUCCACAUCCUCCAAUAGUUCUCCCUGACCCACGUGUUCAA